rnacentral:lncRNA from 1 species
CCCCGAGGGAGGCACCCCGAGGUCACGUGACCCCGGCACCUGUCCUGACCUCGCUGUGCAGAGCCCAGCCCGGGAAGCUCCCCAGCUCCCCUGCAGCACCGGGGCUCACCGCCGGUGCCUUUCGCCUUCCGUCCCGGUGAACCCCACCGCUCGUUGGCUCCAGCCCUUUUGGCAGGCAACCACCUUCUGUGUACUUAAAAAAUGUUUGAAUGUUAGUUCGAAUGUAAGUUUUCAUGCCUUUAGCAAGUCGUUCCUCAAAAAAAAAAAAAAAAAAAUGUUUUGGCUCGCCUUCCUGUGGUUUCGCGUUUCACUUGCCCCCAUUUCUGCUCCGUGCUGCUCGCCGUGUUUGGACACGGUUAUAACUUAAUCAAAGAUAUCGCUUUACUUCCAGCAGGCUCCUGCGCUUGCUUUUAAAAAACAUUUGCUAUAAUACUGCUAGAAUCUCUUUGGACAAACAGUGUACAUUUACUGAGUGCCUCCAGUACCACCUCUGCGUAAUUCCGUGCUAUCAGCAGACAUUUUGCUCUUUUGGUGGCCUCUUUAAUU